rnacentral:RNase_P_RNA from 1 species
AGCUGAAUGAUCGCAGGCACAGAGCCGAAAGGCCGUGUUUGAGGAAAGUCCGGGCUUCACAGGGCAGGAUGCCGGGUAAUCCCCGGUGAAGGUGACUUUAAGGAAAGUGCAACAGAAAAUAACCGCAUGGCCUAGGCUGUGUAAGGGUGAAAAGGUGAGGUAAGAGCUUACCGGGUCUGUGGUAACACAGGCUGUCUGUGUAAACCCCAUCCGAAGCAACACCGCUGCGGAGCAAUGGUUGGCCCAACCGCUCCCUUGGUGGCUAGAGCAGUGCAGUAAUGUACUGUCCAGAUAGAUGAUCAUUCCAGACAGAACCCGGCUUAUAGGCUUACUUGU